rnacentral:rRNA from 1 species
GACAGAGGCCUCAAGCGUUAGGCGGAAUCACUGGGCUUAAAGCGUGUGUAGGCGGAUCGUUAAGUGUCUUGUGAAAUCCCACGGCUCACCCGUGGAACUGCUGGGCAUACUGGCGAUCUUGAGCGACCUAGGGGCAGUCGGAACAAGUGGUGGAGCGGUGAAAUGCGUAGAUAUCACUUGGAACGCCAAUGGUGAAAACAGACUGCUGGGGGUUCGCUGACGCUGAGACACGAAAGCCAGGGGAGCAAACGGG